rnacentral:lncRNA from 10 species
AAGGAAGCGGAGAAAGUCUCACAGGCAUUUUGAUUUUGCAGAUGCCUACUUAUACACGACCUUGGAGAAAAAAGCAUCCAGCACGGCAGAAAUUCCAGGGACUAAUAUUGAGAUGAACCAGGCAUGGAGACCAAGCUGCAAAAUUCCAGAAAUGACCUCCAGGUUGUUAGUCUACAACCCAGCCAUCGUCAAGAUAACAUUAGACUGCGUUCCAGGUGGACCAUGACUCAAGAUAGCCACCAGACCAAGGCACGGACACCUAGCACCCAGCACCACUCCUGCAUGCCUCCCACUCUAAGUUCCCCUUUAUAAACACCUCUCCACAGUCGAAAGUUUGAAAUCGUCUUUUAAGGGCAUGAGCUUGGCCAUUCCCAGAUCUUGGCAUUUGAAUAAAGUAGCUCUCUGUUCAUCACACCCCGCUUCUCGUGUUUUCAGCCUCUGAGUGGAGCAGCCAGACUUGCGUGUGGUGACGCUACUGUAUGGCUACAUCAAACAGAAAUAGAGACCAAAGAAGAGAAUGAGGAGAGUAAAGUUAGCAGAAGUGGAAAAAUA